GACGAACGCUGGCGGCGUGCUUAACACAUGCAAGUCGAGCGGUAAGGCCCUUUCGGGGGUACGACGAGCGGCGAACGGGUGAGUAACACGUGGGUGACCUGCCCUCAGCUCUGGGAUAAGCCUGGGAAACUGGGUCUAAUACCGGAUAUGACUCCAUGACGCAUGUUGUGGGGUGGAAAGCCUUGUGCGGCUGAGGAUGGGCCCGC
rnacentral:rRNA from 1 species